rnacentral:lncRNA from 1 species
GGAGGUUAAUGGGCUGACGCUCUAACGAUCUCCAGGGCUGGCUAUAUAUUUCCAUAGUAGGAUAUAUAUAUGGAGAAUACUUAAAAUUAUUUCCUUUUUUUUCCCUCGUAGUUCCUAUGUCGGGUCAGGCAAGCUAGUAUCAAGUAAGCUAAGCACGGAAGUACUAUUUCUUCUCAAGCUAUGUAGGGUUAGCCAGUGAAAACUGCGAGAUAAGGCAAGUUUAACAAUCCAGUUUGAGUUGCUUGGAGGUCUAUGCGCCCCAGUUGGAGUGCUUCGUCCUUACAGUUCCAGUGCCAGUUAGAGAAAAAAAUCCCAUCCCUUCCUAAGAAGCUAAAGAACUAAGGCUCUCCAGAUCUGACUAAAAAAGCUAGUAAGCUAAAGCUUUCCUCGCUCUUCAUUCGAGACUUUCAUUUCAGUUUCUUUACACAAAAGCAAGUGAGUUAGCUUGUGAGAAAUCAAGCUUUCAAGCAGUCCCCUUAUGAUUAUGAGCUUAUGAGAAGCACCCAC